CGCGCACGCUGGCGGCAGGCCUAACACAUGCAAGUCGAACGAACUCUUCGGAGUUAGUGGCGGACGGGUGAGUAACACGUGGGAACGUGCCUUUAGGUUCGGAAUAACUCAGGGAAACUUGUGCUAAUACCGAAUGUGCCCUUCGGGGGAAAGAUUUAUCGCCUUUAGAGCGGCCCGCGUCUGAUUAGCUAGUUGGUGAGGUAAAGGCUCACCAAGGCGACGAUCAGUAGCUGGUCUGAGAGGAUGAUCAGCCACAUUGGGACUGAGACACGGCCCAAACUCCUACGGGAGGCAGCAGUGGGGAAUCUUGCGCAAUGGGCGAAAGCCUGACGCAGCCAUGCCGCGUGAAUGAUGAAGGUCUUAGGAUUGUAAAAUUCUUUCACCGGGGACGAUAAUGACGGUACCCGGAGAAGAAGCCCCGGCUAACUUCGUG
rnacentral:rRNA from 1 species